GAGGAUUACAGAGUUUCGUCAUGCAACGUCAAAGGUGGAGCACCAGAACUUGGUGGAGCUGCAGAUUCACAUAAUACAACAAAAAUCUGCCAUGUCAGGAACACAAGUUUUCUGUUUACCUCAAGUUGGUUUUAAAGUCAAGCAGAGGCAGUGCAUCCGCUGUUCGCUCCACUCAAGGGAUGGCCCGUCUGCCUGCAGUGAGCUCUGUUGUCAGAUGGAGGCAGUGUACAAAGUAUGUGGUACAACCCGUCUGUGAGCCACUCGUGCUUAUGCCGUUGUUGGUCCGUCAGUCAGAAGAGCGAAGAUAUAACAUACAAAGAGCUGAAGUGAACCCAAGUGUUACAAACAAUGAAAAGCGUCCUCAGCCACAUUUCAUGCUGUCAUUUUUGUAAUAUUUUUCACAUUUCUCUUGUUCCGAGUGAACUCUACUGUCACCCUUUACUCCACCCAAUUUGUCAACCAAUCAACAUUCAGCAGAGAGUCAGUCAGAGAUGCGCAGUCAGGAUUUUGGAUGCACUGCACGGGGGUGUGUCUGGGGUGUGUGAAACCCCCUCUCCCCCCUCUGUCCGAAUGAAAUCGUUUGUGGGACCUGUGGGACCAGCUUACCUGUGUAGAGCAGUCUGUUACUGCCAGGGGUUUCUUCCUGUCAAAAGGCAGUUCUUCCUUCUCACCCUCGACAUGUGCUUCCUCAUAGGGGACACUUGAUAUAUUGUGGUUCUUUCACAAAUAUUGUUGGGACCUUGUUCAUCAUUGAAAUCUAUUGACUUCAUUGUCUUUGAGGGGAUUCCAUAAAAGACAGCCAAAACAGCCAGUAUUCAAUUUCCUUUUUAAAGAAAAAUCUGGAUAAUACAUUUACAUU